UAUCAAUAAGCGGAGGAAAAGAAACUAACAAGGAUUCCCCUAGUAACUGCGAGUGAAGCGGGAAAAGCUCAAAUUUAAAAUCUGGCGGUCUUUGGCCGUCCGAGUUGUAGUCUGGAGAAGCGUCUUCCGCGUUGGACCGUGUACAAGUCUCUUGGAACAGAGCGUCAUAGAGGGUGAGAAUCCCGUCUUUGACACGGACUACCAAUGCUUUGUGAUGCGCUCUCAAAGAGUCGCGUUGUUUGGGAAUGCAGCGCAAAAUGGGAGGUGAAUUCCUUCUAAAGCUAAAUAUUGGCGAGAGACCGAUAGCGAACAAGUACCGUGAGGGAAAGAUGAAAAGCACUUUGGAAAGAGAGUUAAACAGUACGUGAAAUUGCUGAAAGGGAAACGCUUGAAGUCAGUCGCGUCGUCCGGAACUCAGCCUUGCUUCGGCUUGGUGCACUUUCCGGUUGACGGGCCAGCAUCGAUUUUGACCGCUGGAAAAGGGCUGGAGGAAUGUGGCACCUUCGGGUGUGUUAUAGCCUUCAGUCGCAUACAGCGGUUGGGAUCGAGGAACGCAGCACGCCUUAUGGCUGGGGUUCGCCCACAUUCGUGCUUAGGAUGCUGGCAUAAUGGCUUUAAACGACCCGUCUUGAAACACGGACCAAGGAGUCUAACAUGCCUGCGAGUGUUUGGGUGGAAAACCCGAGCGCGUAAUGAAAGUGAAAGUUGAGACCUCUGUCGUGGAGGGCAUCGACGCCCGGACCUGAAGUUUUCUGACGGAUCCGCGGUAGAGCAUGUAUGUUGGGACCCGAAAGAUGGUGAACUAUGCCUGAAUAGGGUGAAGCCAGAGGAAACUCUGGUGGAGGCUCGUAGCGAUUCUGACGUGCAAAUCGAUCGUCAAAUUUGGGUAUAGGGGCGAAAGACUAAUCGAACCAUCUAGUAGCUGGUUCUG
rnacentral:rRNA from 1 species